rnacentral:rRNA from 1 species
UCGGGAAUAUUGCGCAAUGGAGGAAACUCUGACGCAGUGACGCCGCGUGAGGGAAGACGGUUUUCGGAUUGUAAACCUCUGUCUUCGGGGACGAAAAUGACGGUACCCGAGGAGGAAGCCACGGCUAACUACGUGCCAGCAGCCGCGGUAAUACGUAGGUGGCAAGCGUUGUCCGGAAUUACUGGGUGUAAAGGGAGAGUAGGCGGGAUUGCAAGUCCGUUGUUAAAUCUAUCGGCUUAACCGGUAGCUGCGGCGGAAACUGUAGUUCUUGAGUGAAGUAGAGGCAGGCGGAAUUCCUAGUGUAGCGGUGAAAUGCGUAGAUAUUAGGAGGAACACCAGUGGCGAAGGCGGCCUGCUGGGCUUUAACUGACGCUGAGGCUC